GCCAGUGUGGCGAAGUAGUUUGGGUGUUGAACUAAGACUCUGGAGACCAGGGUUCAAUUCCCAGCUUGGCC